GUCUUAUUGAUUAUAAUUUUAAGUCUAAUCUGCCCAAUGAGUAAUUAAAUGGCUGCAGUAUUUUAACUGUACAAAGGUAGCAUAAUAAUUAGUUUCUUAAUUAGGAACUGGAAUGAAUGAUUGGACGAGAUGAUAACUGUCUUGGUUUGAAUUUUAGAAUUUUAUUUUUAAGUUAAAAAGCUUAAAUUUUUUUAAAAGACGAGAAGACCCUAUAGAAUUUUAUAUAAUUUAAUUAUUUUAUUAUUAGGAGUUUUGUAUGAAAUUUAUUAAUGAAUAUUUAAUUGGGGUGAUUGAAAAAUUUAAUUAACUUUUUUUUGUUUUAAAACAUUAAUGUAUGAUUUAAUGAUCCAGAUUUUCUGAUUAUAAGAUUAAAUUACCUUAGGGAUAACAGCGUAAUUUUUUUAGAGAGUUCUAAUCGAUAAAAGAGAUUGCGACCUCGAUGUUGGAUUAAA
rnacentral:rRNA from 1 species